rnacentral:rRNA from 1 species
UACGGAGGGUGCGAGCGUUGUCCGGAAUCAUUGGGCGUAAAGGGCGCGUAGGUGGCUUCUUAAGCGUGCGGUGAAAGCCUGGGCUCAACCCCGGGUCGGCCGUGCGAACUGGGGGGCUGGAGCACUGUAGAGGCAGGCGGAAUUCCGGGUGUAGCGGUGGAAUGCGUAGAGAUCCGGAAGAACACCGGUGGCGAAGGCGGCCUGCUGGGCAGUUGCUGACACUGAGGCGCGACAGCGUGGGGAGCAAACAGG